rnacentral:rRNA from 1 species
GACCGAUAGUGAACCAGUACCGUGAGGGAAAGGCGAAAAGAACCCCUAGCAGGGGAGUGAAAUAGACCCUGAAACCGGAUGCUUACAAGCAGUUGGAGCCUCUUUAUGAGGUGACAGCGUACCUUUUGUAUAAUGGGUCAGCGACUUAAUCUCAUUAGCAAGCUUAAGCCAUAUAGGUGUAGGCGAAGCGAAAGCGAGUCUGAAUAGGGCGAUUUAGUUAAUGGGAUUAGACUCGAAACCGGGUGAUCUAGUCAUGAGCAGGUUGAAAGUGAAGUAAAAUUCACCGGAGGACCGAACCCACUAGCGUUGAAAAGCUACGGGAUGACUUGUGAUUAGGGGUGAAAGGCCAACCAAACUCGGAAAUAGCUAGUUCUCCGCGAAAACUAUUUAGGUAGUGCGUCGUGUGAAUCUUAUUGGGGGUAGAGCACUGAAUGGGCUAGGGGGAAGCAAUUCCUACCAAACCUAAUCAAACUCCGAAUACCAGUAAGUCUGCACGGCAGACAGUCCAUGGGUGCUAAGGUCCUUGGACGAGAGGGAAACAGCCCAGAUCAACAGCUAAGGUCCCCAAAUAAUGAUUAAGUGUGAAAGGGAGUGGGAACUCCAAGACAGCCAGGAGGUUGGCUUAGAAGCAGCCAUCCUUUAAAGAAAGCGUAACAGCUCACUGGUCUAAUUAAGAGAUCCUGCACCGAAAAUGUAACGGGGCUCAAAUCAUUUACCGAAGCUUUGACAAUUACUUUUAGUAAUUGGGUAGCGGAGCGUUCUGUAAGCCUGUAAAGGUGAUGCGUAAGCAUUGCUGGAGGUAUCAGAAGUGCGAAUGCUGACAUGAGUAACGAUAAGAAAUGUGAAAGACAUUUCCGCCGAAAUCCUAAGGUUUCCUGCGUAAAGCUAAUCUGCGCAGGGUUAGUCGGCCCCUAAGGCGAGGGCGAAAGCCGUAGUCGAUGGGAAGCAGGUUAAUAUUCCUGCACCAGCUGGUAGUGACGGAUGAAGUAAAUUGUGAGUUCUUACUGGAUUGAACUUGCUGUGAAUUUGUCCCUGGAAAUAGCUCCAGCAUAAGACCGUACCAAAACCGACACAGGUAGGAGGGUAGAGAAUACCAAGGCGCUUGAGAGAACUAUGUUGAAGGAACUCGGCAAAUUACACUUGUAACUUCGGGAUAAAAGUGACCUGCUAUUGGGCAACCAGUAGGAGGUGGCACAGAAGAGGGGGUAGCGACUGUUUACUAAAAACAUAGCACUAUGCAAAGUCGAAAGACGACGUAUAUGGUGUGACGCCUGCCCGGUGCCGGAAGGUUAAUAGGAGGGGUGCAAGCCCUGAAUUGAAGCCCCGGUGAACGGCGGCCGUAACUAUAACGGUCCUAAGGUAGCGAAAUUCCUUGUCGGGUAAGUUCCGACCUGCACGAAUGGCGUAACGAUUUCCCCACUGUCUCCAACAUAGACUCAGUGAAAUUGAAUUCUCGGUUAAGAUGCCGAGUAACCGUGGUUAGACGGAAAGACCCCGUGCACCUUUACUGCAGCUUUGUAUUGGUAUUAGGGAACAGAUGUGUAGCAUAGGUGGGAGACUUUGAAGGAGUGGCGCUAGCCAUUCUGGAGUCACUAGUGAAAUACCACUCUUCUGUUCCUUGAUGCCUAACCAUACACCGUCAUCCGGUGUUGGGACCAUGCAUGGUGGGCAGUUUGACUGGGGCGGUCGCCUCCCAAAGAGUAACGGAGGCGCGCGAUGGUAGGCUCAGAACGCUUGGAAACCGUUCGUCGAGUGCAAUGGCAUAAGCCUGCCUGACUGCGAGACCCACAAGUCGAGCAGAGACGAAAGUCGGUCAUAGUGAUCCGGUGGCACUUCGUGGAAGGGCCAUCGCUCAACGGAUAAAAGGUACGCCGGGG